AUUUUCUCCUCUGUGUAACUCGGUGUGAAAGUCCGGGGGAUGGAGAUCCGUAUCCGAUUUGUGGCAGGGCCCACAAGGAGAGAGGAGUACCCCAUGCAGGCGAAUCGCCUCGUUUUGUCUGCAGAGCCAAGAGAGGCUGAAGUUGGCUGCAGGACAGUUUUCAGCGUCCGAGGAUGGGGUGGCCGGUCAGGCAGACCUGCCCCGCAGGAUGUUCCCGGGAGCAAGCAGUGAGCCCGCCCGCCCCCACGCUCCCUGCCCGGGCGCCCAGCGUGGAGGCUCCCCUGGUCUCCCCACACGGCCGGGGCCUCGCCCCAGCCCCAGCGCAGCCCCUCACCAGCUCCCAGAAACCGGUGAGAAGCAGCCCAUAGCUUGUUACCUGUUUAUCCGAAGGACAGAUCGGUGCUCAAGAAAGGUGGCGACACGGAGGCCCAGAGUGAGGAAGUCAUGUAUUCAAGGUGGCAGAGCUGGGAUUUGUAUAUCAUCUCUGUACCUGAGCCCCUAACCUGCAAGUCAUAAUAGGCAACGGAUCAAUGUUAUGAUGCAGUGGAGGCCCUUACCAGAAGCCAACCAGAUGCCAGCACCAUGCUCUUGGAUUUCCCAGUCUCCAGAAUG
rnacentral:lncRNA from 10 species